rnacentral:rRNA from 1 species
CUGAACCAGCCAAGUAGCGUGAAGGAUGACUGCCCUAUGGGUUGUAAACUUCUUUUAUAUGGGAAUAAAGUGGUCCACGUGUGGCUUUUUGUAUGUACCAUAUGAAUAAGGAUCGGCUAACUCCGUGCCAGCAGCCGCGGUAAUACGGAGGAUCCGAGCGUUAUCCGGAUUU